CCACCCCACAAGUACCCCACUGUAACCUCCAACCCCCAGACACACACACACACACACACACCGCCUGUCCCUUCUCGUUCCCAUGCCUAGACAGCCGGCUUGACAGCCAGUGACAAGUGCAGCUGGAUCUGCUGCUGUCCAUCACUGAGACUGGCUUUCAGCAGAGUUCUGUCUUACUACCAGAGGCUUCUCUGUCUCCUGCCAGACAUGCUGCCAGGACCAAACAAGGCAAGGCCAAGCUCUGCAGCAUGAAGGUGGAGGACACUUUCUCGGCUCUGACAGCGGAGAAAAUGCAACAACAAGGUGGCCCUGCUGCAGCCACCAGCGCCUUUCAGGCUCCUGGAUUGGGUAUUAUUCUAUGCAGCUGCUGGAACCAGAUCCUCCUGCAUUGCAGACCUGAGCACAGAGUGUGAUGACUUUUUCAGCCCCUUGAGAAGGAUGGAAAGCAGGUUAUGACUCUGCUCCAUAUACAGAAAAACCAAUGGAAUAAAGUACAUUUUUAAUUAUGCCCCGGAUGGAUCAGGGCAUACAUGGGUGGUUUGCUCACAAUAAAUGCUGCAUAUAUUUACUAAAUGAAUAUAAACAUGUAUCAUAAAAACUUGUGCAGGGAAGUCAUUAUUCUAACUUAUAAAAACAGAUGUGAGCACAGAGUAGACUUAAUGGGCCAUUUGAUGAUUCUUCUGCUGAGACACCGUGAGCGAACGCAUAAAUUUUAAAUGCAAUUUGUAUUUUCUUUUGUUUUUGUCUCUGUGGUAAGGCGUUAUCUGUCAAAAUAGUGCAAAUAAUGUCAAACAUUCUCUUUUCUUCCUUCUUCUGGACAUGCACUACAUGUGAAUCAAUGAACAUCUGUUUUUAACAUCAUUUUAACUGUCUACCAUGUGAAAAAAUGAUGGAAAACUUGCCAUUUGUUACCGAGAACCUAACUAUAUGAUCAACAAAAAGUUUUAUCCCUACAUUGGUAAAUAAGUUAGAUAGUGCAAAAAAAUCUUACUAAAAUUGAUGUUAUCAAAAUCUAUUUUUGCAAUUUCAAAAAAAGCUGGAAAAAUCUAUUGUUUGCAUAUACGGAAUCAGAUUUAUAAAGCAUUUGUAAGCCAUAGAAGAAUAAAGCAUUUUAUUUCUCA